GUGUGUGUGUGUGUGUGUGUGUGUGUCCAGUGGGGGCAGGAUAAACCAACAGCCCAGGUGGCCUUUGCCCGAGCCUUGUUGCCCACCUCGAAGCCCACCGCUCCUCUGGCUGGAAGCACCUCUGUGAUUGCAAGGUCACCGAAAAAUCUGGCGAUGUUCCCAGCUGGAGCGGCUCAGAGAAGCCUUCCUGCCCCUGGCGUAUUGUCCUGAAUUUCUGCAGCUUGUAGGAGAAGGUGGCUCCCGGUGGCCACAGCAACCCGGCCACACCCAGCAGACUCUGAAGGAAUGCAGUCUAGAUAAUCUACAAAAGUGUCAGCCCAGCCCUGAUUGGUAGUGUUUCCUCGUGUCCGCUCUGCUCACUGUCCAGUCGUGGCUAAUCACAAGCUGCCCCCAUGACAUCGCUGAACACAGAGCUGGGACAAGACGCGCGGCGGGGAAAGUGUCAGAAUUUCUGCCAUUCGGGUCCAACAGACACCAAUAACCACAGAACGCAGGUAACCCUGGGCUCCCAGAGCCAGUAUGAGCCAGCACCAGCCCACUCUGCAGGGAGAGGUGGAGAUCAGAGGCAGGGACGGCCAGUCCAAGGUA